rfam:Neotoma lepida isolate 417 scaffold_466, whole genome shotgun sequence.
ACUGUUGAGCCAUCUCUCCAGCCCCCUGAAAUUAACUUUUAAGAAAGGGAAUAGGGCUGGAGAGAUGGCUCAGCAGU